rnacentral:lncRNA from 1 species
AAGCACAUUUCUUAUAUACUAUUUGGGCACACAAAUUCACCUUUUAUUGAGAUAUAUCCAUCCAUUCUUGCUAUGACUUUUUGAAUAUUCGAAUGAUAAUCAUAAAAGAGAAUGUUGACUAGUGAAUUGUUUAUUUUGCAGAAAAGUGCGCAAAGGCACUAUAAUCGUCAAGACUUCUACUAUGUGGCUAACGAGAAGAGAGAAGGGCAUGAAAGAAAUACGUCAAGGCUUGAGCGUGAAGGAAAGAAGUAAUGUAGGGGAGCAAACUAAAAGAAGAGGAGGAUCUUCUUGGGAAGAAAGAAGAAAGGAGGAGGGCCAAAGUAAAAAAAGACAGAACAGAGGAGGGGAUCAAAAAUCCCUAGCGCAGCCGAUCCCCAUCAGGCCUGCAUCUCACCUCUCUCCCUCACCCCUCCUUCUCCACCACCGGCCGUCGCCGCGGCCAGGCCGGCGUGGCGGUGCGCCUGCUGCUCCUCCACUCAGCCACGAGCACCAUCCGCCGCACCAUCCAUCCAUCCCAGCCGCGCCGUGCCAUCCAUCCACCACUCCACCAGCGUCACUAGCUCCACUUCACCACCGCGCCUCACCAGCGCCCACCUCGCGCGCCCCUCCUGCCGCUUCCUCUCUGAACCCGCUGUUGCUGCUGCAUCUUCCUUCUUCCUCUCGACCUCCUGUUGCUCUUCUCCAAGCACCGCUGCUGCUCCUUCCUUGCAACCCCCCUGCUGUUGUUCAUCCUCUCCACCUCCUUGCGCCUCCCUGCCGGUACCCUUCUCUGCUCAAAACUGCUGCUGCUUGUGCACUCCAGCUUCUCCUUCUUCUCCUGCCUACUGCUGGUUCUUCUUCCCCACAUCACUUUUGCUGCUCCUCUUCUCUGCCUCGCUACUGUUCUUCUUACCUGAACCUCAAAAUUGCUGCUGUUCUCUUCUAAACAACAAAACUGCUGCUACUACUACCUCAACCUCCUAUUGCUUUCUUUCUUUCUCACUCUCUUUUAAAUUUCUGUAAGAUUGAGACGCAUGUGAUUUGUAUUAUUCAGAUUUGAUAAGUGUUAGUAAUCUACUGUUGUUCAGUUCAGACUUCCUGUGUGUGUUAAUUAGUUAAAAUUGUCACUUGUGUACUGCUUGUUGCAGAUUCUUGCUCAUUUUUGUUGUCUAUGUGUUAGCUCAUGCAUCUGAGAAUUAUAAAGACAUAUGUGUGUGUGGUUGAUGUGAAACAAUUAUAUAUAUGUCUCAUGUUUGUUAGUUAGUGGUUUGUAUAAAUUCAGAUUACUACUUGUGAUUUAAUUUUGUAUUGAAAUUGUUCUCUGUGGUAGUCAGUUGUGUGAUCAUUCAAUUUUCAGUCUAUGUAUUAGCUCUGUACCUGUAAUAUAUGUUGUGACAUGAAGCAUUUUCAUCCUUGUCCAUUAUCUUGUUUCUUCACUCUGUCAUACGCUUGUUAGAUAAAUAUAUGUGUUCAUGUCCUGUUGUUCCCUUUUGUGUUAGCAUUUUAGUUUCUCAAGUAACAGGAAAACACCAAAAAAGACAAUAUAGACAAUCUGAACCUCCCCUUUGCUUAUUUUACAUUUUCUUUGGCGACGAUCUUCGGGAACUACCUUGUUAGUUUAGGUUUAUUUUCUUGCAUUUAUAAUCUGAGUUCUGUCACCUAGCUUUAGCCGAGCAUUGUUGCUGUCGCCUAGUCCCUGUGGAGAACACGACACUCACAGUUCGGGUGAAAUAUCCCGCAGUACUUUCAAUCGAUCAUUUUGGCGCCGUUGCCGGGGACUAGCGUCGUGUGACCGUGUUAGGCUAUAGACUAGGUUUUGCUUCUGUUUCUAUCUGGUGCCAUAUAUUUGUGAUAUAUCUCUUACCCCUAACCACUGUUCUAGUUAUCUUCUCUUUCUUUUCUUGUUCAUUUUGUAGGUUGAAUUGUCUUCUCGGAUAUGGCUUACUAUUCAGAUCAUCAUGCUUAUGCGAGCAACACUACAAACAACACGGAAAGUAUUCAAGAACUGAUAAGUAAGAUUUCCCAUCAAUUAGAUGAUUUAGCUCAGCAGCGAGGAGUAGUUUUUGAGGAUAGGCCUAGUUCUUAUUAUCCUUAUUCCGGAAGCAAUCCUUAUGUUGCUCCUACAUGCCAUAUUUGUGGAUUUCAGGGCCAUUCGCCCGCUGAAUGUCAGCGUGGUUACUCUCACACUCCAGAUUGUUUUGGCAUGAGCUUCGCUCAAGAGCAUAGCUCAUACCAAAACAAUUACUCACAUGGGUGUCCUGAAAACCCGAAUAUGUCAUAUAGGAGCAACAACCCCGAGAUCUCACCGCUUGCUUCUAGUAAUCAUAUGCAGGGAUUUAGGUAUGAAGAGGAGAGCCACAGCUAUGCUCCACAACAGUCUUAUUCAGCUCCUAUUCAUAUACCUCAGCACGAGGAGAUGUUGCCAAUGGAGUUAAAUGGUCCUCCAUUUGGUCAACCAACACCUUCAACACAAGUGCCUACUCAAGAUGAGUUUGAUGACAUAGACAAGUUCACACUUUUGAGUCUUGAGUUCAGUUGGAGUGCCGAGGAUGAUCCUAUUAGGAAGGUUAUACUAGAUGAAAUGAAGAAGAUCAAGAGUGGGAAUGAGCUAGUGGAAGAAGUAAAGAAGAUUGAGAAGAACAUCAACGCUGGCAGCUCUAUUUCUUCACAGCUAGAGCUGAGUGUUGCUGAGAUUCCCCUUGAUACAUGUGAGGUUCCAACACCUUCACAUUUCGUUGAGCAAGUUAGCAAGUGCCUUGAGCAAGAGAUACCUCAGAUUGAAGAAGAUGAACUAGAAGACAAGGACCAAGAUGGUCAAGAGCUGCAAUUCCCAAGUGAUCAAGUUGAAGACUCAUCAUCUACUACUGAAGAACUACAAGAAGCUGCUGUAGAUAAAGAUGAAGAUCAUGAGAUUCAUUUGCCUAUUGUCAUACCAGAGCGUGAUGUGUCAGGUUUACUCAAUCCUCUUGAUGACAUGAUGCCUUGUGAUUUCUUUGCUACUACCUUGCUUUACAUGAUACUAUCACUUAAGAUUGAUUUGAAAACUCAUUUGCUUGGAUAUGAUGAUAUAUACCCUGUUAGUGGUAUUACUCUCAUUUGUGAUGAUCAUAGUUACUUUCCUCGUGCUAAUCCUAUGCUUAAUGAAACAUAUCACUCCCAUGCUAGUCUUGCACUUAAUGAUAAAUGUCAUCCUCGUGUGAGUAUUGACCAUGCUGAUUUCUGCCAUCCUAAACAUGUGCUUUAUAGUUAUGCUUAUAUAAUUGGAUAUUCCAUUGAUGACUUGGAGGGCAUCGACCGUAUCACUUGUAGUUGUUUGUGUGAGUCCUAUUUCAGGCUUUUGCUACUGCACUGUUUACUACAUGCUGACCAGGUUUGAGGUGACAUUCCUUGGGAUCCUGGUGGAGUCACAGCAUGGCGAUGAGGGGAGCACAAACAGGGAACACAAACAGAGAAGAGUGGAGAGAAGAAAGUAGGAGAGAAGAGUAUACAAAUACCAGGUGAUUCUGUUCCACUUGAAGCAACCUUUAGAAAAUUUAGUACGAGAACUGGCAUUUUAUUGCAUUGAAACGCUUUUUGCAUUGUGACACCUUACUCUUCACUGCAAAGUAGGAUUCACUCCAAGAAGAUUGUUGAUUCUCUUAAUACUAAAACUAUGCAGCAGUAUUCUUCUUAUGGUAAUUUGUGAUAAUGAAUACUUUAUACCUCCAUGUAAAUGUUCAAUGGGAAUGCCUUGAGUCUAAGUGAAACCUACUAAUGAAUUGAUGUGCUGUGUCUGACUGUCCCACGUUAAGCUAAGUAACUGGUGGCACUUAAGUAGUAGCUAUGAUCUCUGGAUCUGUAGUAUGUGAAAAACAGUGCCAUUAGUUAUGGAUUCCUCUUUCAAUUAUUCCUGUUUUACUUAAGCUAAGUAAUUUUCAAAUAACUAAAUAAAAUAAUUAUAAUAUUUUAAGUCCGAUCGACCUAUAGUAGCAUGUCAUGUUCCCUGGAUCGGUGGCUUGUGAAAUCUGGUAGAUUGGACUCUAAAAAAAAAUUAUAUAAAAAUGCUAUAAUUUGUCGAACCAGGUGUAUACCAUGUUCUCGGGAUCGGUGGUAUGUUCCUUUGGGGAGAUAACAAAAAAAUAUACUAAUAAUUUGGUCGAGCCAGGUGUAUACCAUGUUCUCGGGAUCGGUGGUAUGUUCCUUUGGUGAGACUGAUAUAAUAUCAUCACUUGUGCUUUAAAUUCAAUAAGUAACUUGUUUUUCUAAUUGAUUUUGGGGUCCCAGCUUAUCUCAGGGCUGAAGACAGAGCCAGCUCUUGAUUAUUAGUAUUCACUUUGACUCAAGGCCAUUGACUUGGAACAUUUACAGUGUGUUAUAAAAUAUUUCUUAUCACAAUUUAGCUUCAGUAGAGUACAUUUGCUUAGUUCCAGUAUUGUCGGAAUUACUAUCUAUCGGAAAGUGCAUAUUUACUAGGCAGUGUGAGUUGUGUCACCAUCAAAUUUUUUUUCCUUUGCUCGAGGACAAGCAAAGAUUUAAGUGUGGGGGAACUUGAUAAGCACAUUUCUUAUAUACUAUUUGGGCACACAAAUUCACCUUUUAUUGAGAUAUAUCCAUCCAUUCUUGCUAUGACUUGUUGAAUAUUUGAAUGAUAACCAUAAAAGAGAAUGUUGACUAGUGAAUUGUUUAUUUUGCAGAAAAGUGCGCAAAUGCACUAUAAUCGUCAAGACUUCUACUAUGUGGCUAACGAGAAGAGAGAAGGGCAUGAAAGAAAUACGUCAAGGCUUGAGCGUGAAGGAAAGAAGUAAUGUAGGGGAGCAAACUAAAAGAAGAGGAGGAUCUUCUUGGGAAGAAAGAAGAAAGGAGGAGGGCCAAAGUAAAAAAAGACAAAACAGAGGAGGGGAUCAAAAAUCCCUAGCGCAGCCGAUCCCCAUCAGGCCUCGCAUCUCACCUCUCUCCCUCACCCCUCCUUCUCCACCACCGGCCGUCGCCGCGGCCAGGCCGGCGUGGCGGUGCGCCUGCUGCUCCUCCACUCAGCCACGAGCACCAUCCGCCGCACCAUCCAUCCAUCCCAGCCGCGCCGCGCCAUCCAUCCACCACUCCACCAGCGUCACCAGCUCCACUUCACCACCGCGCCUCCACCAGCGCCCACCUCGCGCGCCCCUCCUGCCGCUUCCUCUCUGAACCUGCUAUUGCUGCUGCAUCUUCCUUCUUCCUCUUGACCUCCUGUUGCUCUUCUCCAAGCACCGCUGCUGCUCCUUCCUUGCAACCCCCCUGUUGUUGUUCAUCCUCUCCACCUCCUUGCGCCUCCCUGCCGGUACCCUUCUCUGCUGAAAACUGCUGCUGCUUGUGCGCUCCAGCUGCUCCUUCUUCUCCUGCCUACUGCUAGUUCUUCUUCCCCACAUCACUUUUGCUGCUCCUCUUCUCUGCCUCGCUACUGUUCUUCUUACCUGAACCUCAAAAUUGUUGCUGUUCUCUUCUAAACAACAAAACUGCUGCUACUACUACCUCAACCUCCUGUUGCUUUCUUUCUUUCUCACUCUCUUUGAAAUUUCUGUAAGAUUGAGACGCAUAUGAUUUGUAUUAUUCAGAUUUGAUAAGUGUUAGUAAUCUACUGUUGUUCAGUUCAGACUUCCUGUGUGUGUUAAUUAGUUAAAAUUGUCACUUCUGUACUGCUUGUUGCAGAUUCUUGAUCAUUUUUGUUAUCUAUGUGUUAGCUCAUGCAUCUGAGAAUUAUAAAGACUGUGUGGUUGAUGUGAAACAAUUAUAUAUAUGUCUCCUGUUUGUUAGUUAGUGGUUUGUAUAAAUUCGGAUUACUACUUGUGAUUUAAUUUUGUAUUGAAAUUGUUCUCUGUGGUAGUCAGUUGUGUGAUCAUUCAAUUUUCAGUCUAUGUAUUAGCUCUGUAC